rnacentral:rRNA from 1 species
UGCGCGGCGAAAAACCUUACACACAGUGUUUUUUGUUAUUACAAGAACUUUUGCUUUGGUCUGGACUAGAAAUAGUUUGGGCCAGAGGUUUACUGAACUAAACUUCAAUAUUUAUAUUGAAUUGUUAUUUAUUUAAUUGUCAAUUUGUUGAUUAAAUUCAAAAAAUCUUCAAAACUUUCAACAACGGAUCUCUUGGUUCUCGCAUCGAUGAAGAACGCAGCGAAAUGCGAUAAGUAAUAUGAAUUGCAGAUUUUCGUGAAUCAUCGAAUCUUUGAACGCACAUUGCGCCCUCUGGUAUUCCAGAGGGCAUGCCUGUUUGAGCGUCAUUUCUCUCUCAAACCUUCGGGUUUGGUAUUGAGUGAUACUCUUAGUCGAACUAGGCGUUUGCUUGAAAUGUAUUGGCAUGAGUGGUACUGGAUAGUGCUAUAUGACUUUCAAUGUAUUAGGUUUAUCCAACUCGUUGAAUAGUUUAAUGGUAUAUUUCUCGGUAUUCUAGGCUCGGCCUUACAAUAUAACAAACAAGUUUGACCUCAAAUCAGGUAGGAUUACCCGCUGAACUUAAGCAUAUCGA